rnacentral:tRNA from 1 species
GGGCGAAUGGUUUAGUGGUAUAAUACUCCCUUAGCAAGAUUACGUAUCUGGGAGUGGUCCAGGGUUCGAUUCCCUGUUCGUCCA